rnacentral:tRNA from 1 species
GCCCCAUCCUCCAAAUAAGGCUCCCAUGAUCUCUCUACAGUUGAUGUCUGCUUCAGGUUGAGUAGAUCAAACAUAUGGGCUUAAUACUUGGGUGUGAAAGGCUGAUCAUGUCAUCAUCCUAUAUAUAUAUAUAUAUAUAUAUAUAUAUAUAUAUAUAUAUAUAUAAAAUUUUGGAGUACAUUGAUGACUGAAAAAAUUUUUAAAUCAUAGGCCUGCUUGGCUAGGGUCACUGCUGAGGCAUGGGUUUGAUCCCUUGCCCAGUGCAGUGGGUUAAAGAUCUUGUGUUGCCACAGCUGUGGCUCAGAGUCGAUCCCUGGCCCCAGAAAUUCCAGAUGCUUUGGGUGCGGCCAAAGAAAAAAAAAAUCUUAGACCUGUUUUUUUAAGCCCCGAGUUACCUCCUGCACCAGCAGCUGAGAAAGUUCUCUGAUCAAAGAUUGAAUCCACAUCACAGCAGUGACAAUGCUGAAUCCUAGGCCACCAGGGAACUCCUCUCUUGAAUCUAUAAAUCUUUCAAAAACUCCCAAAUACACAGUUUCCAAAUGGAAAAGAGUAUGUAUUAUGAGAUGAAAUGGUGUAGGAGGUAGAAUUGUGUAAGCAUAAAUCAUGUGUAAUUCAGGAACUACUUGUUUUGUAUCUGAAAGGAAAUUUGAGUACAUUUUAAAGAAUGCUAUUUACAUACACUCAUAUAAAAAUCUUUGAAAUUUUCUUGAAGGUGUAGGGUAGAUGAAGUUUUAAGAGUUAGGGAUAAUCUAUUUUAUGCUUGAAUUUUAAACCCUUUUUCUUUAAAUCUGUUGGUUAGAUGCCUUGAAUUAAUCUGAGAGUUUUCAGAUUGUUACUUUUCAUACCCUUUGCAAUUCCCUUGGAGUUCUAAAUUAAAUAUGCUAAAAUGUAUGGGUAAUAUUCUUAACACCCAGGAAUUGUACUUGUCCCUGGCCAGGGAACUUCUGAAUGCCAUGGGUGGGCCAAAAAUAUAUAAAUAAAUGAAGUUUCCUCUGUUAAAGGAACAGUUUAUCAUAGAUGAUGACCUUAAUUAUAGUGUCUGAAUUAAGCAAUGGCAGAAAGGGGGGGGAAAUGGGAGAAUUGACAGAAAGCAACCGACACAGAUAAUCAUGGAAAAUCAGAUGCACAUUUGUCAAAGGAGGCUACAAGUUCUAUUCAAGCUCCAUUUAAUUAAAGAGAUCAUAUAUGUUGACAAAUGACCUCCUCCAAUGAUGUUGAAAAUAUUUCGUUCUUCUAGUAAUUCACAUGGUAACUUUUAUGCAUGUGUAAGAAAGGAUUCAAGAAAGCUAAUUUUUCCCAAUCUACUACAUAAAGUGGCAGGAAAAUGUGGUAGUUUAUAUACAAUUGUAAAAAUAAUAAGUACUAAUCAAAUUCCUCCAAAGCUGGUCAUAUAUAUAUAGCUACUCCUAAAUCAUUACAGAUAGUUCUUUUGUUCUAAGAUUAGAAAUUUACCUGAUUGUCAAAACCAAAUUACAAAUGUGUUCUUAGACUCUAGACUCUUGAGGGGAUGGCAGGUAGAAGACAUGCGAAUGUUUGAUUUAAUUGAACUCAAAAUUGCCGUCUAACAAGAUCUUUAUUAUUUCACUUUCCUUGGCAACUUGGAAUCAGAGCUUUGAUUCUUCUUGUCAAAACUUGGGAGAGGAGUUCCCAUUGUGGUGCAGUGGGUAAGGAUCCAGCUUGUCGCUUUGGAGGCUCUAGUUCCAUCCCUGGCUCAGCUCAGCAGGUGAAGGAUACAGCAUUGCUACAGCCUGCAGCAUAGGUCACACUGCAGCUGGGAUUUGAUCCCUGGCCUGAGACUUCCAUUUGCCAUGGGAGCAGCCCAAAAAAAAAAAAAAAAAACCCAAAAACCAAAACAAAAAAACCUUGGAGAGAUCUACAAUUUUGCAGAUCUUGCUAUAAAAUAAAGGCUCUCCGGUGGUCCCUUCCAUUGUUGGAAUUGCCCUUACACUUCAAGUGAUCAGACAUUAAGGGCUCUCAAUUUUUAGAACAAAAGGACUGGAUUGCCCCUUUCCAUCAGCCUUCCAAGGGUCCUAAUCAUUGUGCGUUCAGUCCAGUCUACUUAACCAUUUGGUAUCUGUUAAGUUCCUAUACAUCAAGUGAUGUUUGAAAGCAGGUCCUAAAUUUCAAAACUAAGAAAACAGAAUCAUGUUUAUGAAAGAUAUUCAACCAAAAAAUUUUAAUCACUCUUUAGCAAAUUGGACUAGCCCAUUUGUGAACAUUAAAACUUUCAAAAAUUUACUAUAUGUUAAAUUCAAAAUAAUUGGGGGAAAGGGAAGUAUAUAUGAUAAAGCAAGCAUAAUUUACUGUUAAUUUUAAAAUCUACAUAGUGGGUACACAGGUGUUCGCUAUAAAAAUUACUCCACUUUUUGGGGGUAAUUUGGUGCAUGUAGCGCCACUGAUAUCUUAGUUCCCAGACCAGGGAUUGAAUCCGAACCACAGCGGUGAAAGUGCUGAGUCCUUACCACCAGACCACCAGGGAACUCCCUAAAAUCACUUUCUUAUUAUAACAAAAUAUUAACAGAAUUACAGAAAAUUAAGACUGCUUUACUAGUUCAUUCCAACAUUACACAUAAGUUGAAACAUUUGCCAAUAAUUGCAAAAGCUCACUUACAUGUAGCAUAAAGCACAAAUAAGUUAAUCUUUUGAGGUUGUAAACUUUGAAUCUCCUGAAUGUUUUUUCUUUGCACUUUCAACUAGGCUUGUUAGUUGGUUACAACACUUCUAAAACAGAACAUCUCUAGUCAAUGACAAACACCAAAGCCGUAGUAAAUAACAACUGAAAGAUUAGAAAAAGGGUAAUGUAUUUAAGCAUUGGCUUAUUGGGGAAAUGUGACAGCUGACAUUUAAUGUUAAUGUUGAUGUAAAUGCUAACGCUUGAAGAAACUUUAGUUUGGAGAGGAUAAAGAGGUAAGAGGAGACUAUAAAGAUUCCAAAGGGAAUUUAUAAGAACCACCCAUGGUUUGAGAGAAAAGUUAAAGAAAUUAUUUUUACUGGAAUAACUUGAAAUUCAAGCAUCAUACAGAAAUAUGUGUAUACAUCAGAUUCCCAAAAGAGAAGGGGACGGCUGAAGGGCUGGUUAGCACUGAGGUGACCAGGAGAAGGACAAGGCAGUGUGCAACUCUUGGUUGGUUCCUACUCUUUAAAGCCCUUAGCACUGAACUAAUAUCAGUGGAGCUAAUGGAAAGCUGAAAGCACUUAAAAUUAUUCCUUAAGUGUAGUUCCACAUUCCAUGACAUAUAUUCAUAUAAAACCACAUUUUAGUCAAAAUAGAUAGAGUGGACAAAAGUGUGGUCACCAAAACCUCUUUAGAGUAGCAGUUAUAGGAGUUCCCAUUUCCUGUGGUACAGUGGAAAUGAAUCCAACUGGUAAACAUGAGGUUGCAGGUUUGAUCCCUGGCCUUGUUGUGGGUUAAAGAUCUGGUGUUACUGUGAGCUGUGGUGUAGAUCACAAACUUGGCUCAGAUCCUGUGUUGCUGUGGCUAUGGCGUGGGCAGGCAGCUGUAGCUCCGAUUUGACCCCUAGCAUAGGAACCUCCAUAUGCUGCA